rnacentral:rRNA from 1 species
CCUACGGGAGGCAGCAGUGAGGAAUAUUGGUCAAUGGCCGGAAGGCUGAACCAGCCAAGCCGCGUGAAGGACGAAGGUGCCAAGCAUUGUAAACUUCUUUUGUCAAGGGACAAAAUCAGGCUCGAGAGCCUGACCGAGGGUACUUGAAGAAAAAGCAUCGGCAAACCCCGUGCCAGCAGCCGCGGUAAUACGGAGGAUGCGAGCGUUAUCCGGAUUUAUUGGGUUUAAAGGGUGCGUAGGCGGGCUGUUAAGUCAGCGGUAAAAGCCCGGGGCUCAACCCCGGCGAGCCGUUGAAACUGGCUGUCUUGAGAUGUCGAGAGGUAUGCGGAAUGCGCAGUGUAGCGGUGAAAUGCUUAGAUAUUGCGCAGAACUCCGAUUGCGAAGGCAGCAUGCCGGCGGCGAUCUGACGCUGAGGCACGAAAGCAUGGGUAUCGAACAGGAUUAGAUACCCUAGUAGUC